AGAGUUUGAUCCUGGCUCAGGAUGAACGCUGGCGGCGUGCCUAACACAUGCAAGUCGAACGGAGUUGUGCAUCGGAAGUUUUCGGAUGGAAGAUGCAAAACUUAGUGGCGGACGGGUGAGUAACGCGUGGGUAACCUGCCGUAUACAGGGGGAUAACAGUUGGAAACAACUGCUAAUACCGCAUAAGCGCACACUGUCGCAUGACAGAGUGUGAAAAUUUCCGGAGGUAUACGAUGGACCCGCGUCUGAUUAGCCAGUUGGCAGGGUAACGGCCUACCAAAGCAACGAUCAGUAGCCGGCCUGAGAGGGUGGACGGCCACAUUGGUACUGAGACACGGACCAAACUCCUACGGGAGGCAGCAGUGAGGAAUAUUGGUCAAUGGACGCAAGUCUGAACCAGCCAUGCCGCGUGCAGGAAGACGGCUCUAUGAGUUGUAAACUGCUUUUGUACGAGGGUAAACGCAGAUACGCGUAUCUGUCUGAAAGUAUCGUACGAAUAAGGAUCGGCUAACUCCGUGCCAGCAGCCGCGGUAAUACGGAGGAUUCAAGCGUUAUCCGGAUUUAUUGGGUUUAAAGGGUGCGUAGGCGGUCGGAUAAGUUAGAGGUGAAAUCCCGGGGCUCAACUUCGGAAUUGCCUCUGAUACUGUUCGGCUAGAGAGUAGUUGCGGUAGGCGGAAUGUAUGGUGUAGCGGUGAAAUGCUUAGAGAUCAUACAGAACACCGAUUGCGAAGGCAGCUUACCAAGCUACUUCUGACGUUGAGGCACGAAAGCGUGGGGAGCAAACAGGAUUAGAUACCCUGGUAGUCCACGCAGUAAACGAUGAUAACUCGUUGUCGGCGAUACAGUGUCGGUGACUAAGCGAAAGCGAUAAGUUAUCCACCUGGGGAGUACGUUCGCAAGAAUGAAACUCAAAGGAAUUGACGGGGGCCCGCACAAGCGGAGGAACAUGUGGUUUAAUUCGAUGAUACGCGAGGAACCUUACCCGGGCUUGAAAGUUAGUGACGGAUCUUGAAAGAGGUCUUCCCUUCGGGGCACGAAACUAGGUGCUGCAUGGUUGUCGUCAGCUCGUGCCGUGAGGUGUCGGGUUAAGUCCCAUAACGAGCGCAACCCCUACCGUUAGUUGCCAGCAGGUCAAGCUGGGCACUCUGACGGGACUGCCGGUGUAAGCCGAGAGGAAGGUGGGGAUGACGUCAAAUCAGCACGGCCCUUACGUCCGGGGCUACACACGUGUUACAAUGGCAGGUACAGAGGGCAGCUACCCAGCGAUGGGAUGCGAAUCUCGAAAGCCUGUCUCAGUUCGGAUUGGAGGCUGAAACCCGCCUCCAUGAAGUUGGAUUCGCUAGUAAUCGCGCAUCAGCCAUGGCGCGGUGAAUACGUUCCCGGGCCUUGCACUCACCGCCCGUCAAG
rnacentral:rRNA from 1 species